UUAAGCAUACUAGGGCCGGCGUCCGCGCUGCGCGCGGAUUACAUGUUUAAUAAAAAUCAGGGGAGAAGUUCGAAACGGUGAUCAUUUUUUUUUAAAAAACAACUGAAGUGGUAACGUAAAUGUUUUAAAAGUUGACUGGUGGUGUUUGCUAUGAGGCUUAGGAUAGCAGUUUAUUCCUCUUUUGGAAGCGUUGAAUGAUAUCAAUUUCGUUGUUAAAGUAGAAGCGCGUUCCAGGUGUUGCUGUGAGUGAUAGUUUUUCUGAAAAAGGCAAAUAUUUGUUAGCAUUUAGUUUUUUGU